rnacentral:rRNA from 1 species
CAUAACGCUGGCGGCGUGCUUAACACAUGCAAGUCGAACGGAAUACAAGGGAGCUUGCUCCUGAAAUAUUUAGUGGCGAACGGGUGAGUAUCACGUGAGCAACCUGCCCCGAAGAUUGGGAUAACGCCGGGAAACCGGUGCUAAUACCGAAUACCCUCCACACAUCGCAUGAUGAGUAGAGGAAAUGUUUUUUCGCUUCGGGAGGGGCUCGCGGUCCAUCAGCUUGUUGGCGGGGUAACGGCCCACCAAGGCAACGACGGAUAGCUGGUCUGAGAGGACGAUCAGCCACACUGGAACUGAGACACGGUCCAGACUCCUACGGGAGGCAGCAGUGGGGGAUCUUGCGCAAUGGACGAAAGUCUGACGCAGCAACGCCGCGUGAGGGACGAAGGCUUUCUGAGUUGUAAACCUCUUUCGACAGGAACGAUUGUGACGGUACCUGUAGAAGAAGCACCGGCCAACUAUGUGCCAGCAGCCGCGGUGAUACAUAGGGUGCAAGCGUUAUUCGGAUUUAUUGGGCGUAAAGAGCUCGUGGGCGGUUCAAUAAGUCACGUGUUAAUCCCCCAGGCUCAACCUGGGGCCCGCCACGUGAAACUGUUGUGACUAGAGUUUGGUAGGGGAUCACGGAAUUUCUGGUGGUAGCGGUGGAAUGCCCAAAAUAUCAAGGAGGAAAC